UACGUAGGGUGCAAGCGUUAUCCGGAAUUAUUGGGCGUAAAGGGCUCGUAGGCGGUUUGUCGCGUCUGCUGUGAAAACUGGAGGCUCAACCUCCAGCCUGCAGUGGGUACGGGCAAACUAGAGUGCGGUAGGGGAGAUUGGAAUUCCUGGUGUAGCGGUGGAAUGCGCAGAUAUCAGGAGGAACACCGAUGGCGAAGGCAGAUCUCUGGGCCGUAACUGACGCUGAGGAGCGAAAGCAUGGGGAGCGAACAGG
rnacentral:rRNA from 1 species